rnacentral:rRNA from 1 species
AUAACAAUUAGAAAUGAUUGCUAAUACCGCAUAAGACCCCAGUACCGCAUGGUACAGAGGUAAAAACUGAGGUGGUGUAAGAUGGGCCCGCGUCUGAUUAGGUAGUUGGUGGGGUAGAAGCCUACCAAGCCGACGAUCAGUAGCCGACCUGAGAGGGCGACCGGCCACAUUGGGACUGAGACACGGCCCAAACUCCUACGGGAGGCAGCAGUGGGGAAUAUUGCACAAUGGGGGAAACCCUGAUGCAGCGACGCCGCGUGAGUGAGGAAGUAUUUCGGUAUGUAAAGCUCUAUCAGCAGGGAAGAAAAUGACGGUACCUGACUAAGAAGCCCCGGCUAACUACGUGCCAGCAGCCGCGGUAAUACGUAGGGGGCAAGCGUUAUCCGGAUUUACUGGGUGUAAAGGGAGCGUAGACGGAUAAGCAAGUCUGAUGUGAAAAUCCGGGGCCCAACCCCGGAAUUGCAUUGGAAACUGCAUAUCUAGAGUGUCGGAGGGGCAAGUGGAAUUCCUGGUGUAGCGGUGAAAUGCGUAGAUAUCAGGAGGAACACCAGUGGCGAAGGCGGCUUGCUGGACGAUGACUGACGUUGAGGCUCGAAAGCGUGGGGAGCAAACAGGAUCAGAUACCCUGGUAGUCCACGCCGUAAACGAUGACUACGAGGUGUCGGGAGGCAAAGCCUUUCGGUG